rnacentral:rRNA from 1 species
AACGAACGCUGGCGGCAUGCCUAACACAUGCAAGUCGAACGAGAAAGUCACUUCGGUGGCGAUUAAAGUGGCGCACGGGUGAGUAACGCGUAGAUAAUCUACCCUUCAGUUUGGGACAACUCUUCGAAAGGAGAGCUAAUACCGGAUAAAACCUCUUGUCAUAAGGCUUGAGGUUAAAAGCUCCGGCGCUGGGGGAUGAGUUUGCGUCCCAUUAGCUUGUUGGUGGGGUAACGGCCCACCAAGGCGACGAUGGGUAGCGGGUCCGAGAGGACGAUCCGCCACACUGGCACUGAGACACGGGCCAGACUACUACGGUAGGCAGCAGUGGGGAAUAUUGCGCAAUGGGCGAAAGCCUGACGCAGCAAUGCCGCGUGAGUGAAGAAGGCCUUCGGGUCGUAAAGCUCUUUUAUGGGGGAAGAUGAUGA